GAGUUCGGUGGCAGCGGCGGAACGCGCUGGACGCAACGGUCUUACCUUGCUCUUCUGUUUUCUCAGACCCGAAUCGACCAAUUCACUGCAGACCGGAGUCUUUGAAUCGCGCGCCACCGGUUAUCUGUGAACGAGUGUGCUGCCACAACGGGGAAAAGCCGCGGCAUAUCGUUCGGCGGGGGUGUGUCCCUACAUUCGGUGGCAGCGGCGGAACGCGCUGGACGCAACGGUCUUACCUUGCUCUUCUGUUUUCUCAGGUACUUCCUCCGCCGGAUUGGGUGCCCGACUCCUUUUGCCGCCGGACUCUGUCGCUGUUCAUUGCAGAGGUGCUAAAAGUGGAAUCUCUCAUCGUUCACUGCAGACCAGAAUCGACCAAUUCACUGCAGACCGGAGUCUUUGAAUCGCGCGCCACCGGUUAUCUGUGAACGAGUGUGCUGCCACAACGGGGAAAAGCCGCGGCAUAUCGUUCGGCGGGGGUGUGUCCCUACAUUCGGUGGCAGCGGCGGAACGCGCUGGACGCAACGGUCUUACCUUGCUCUUCUGUUUUCUCAGACCCGAAUCGACCAAUUCACUGCAGACCGGAGUCUUUGAAUCGCGCGCCACCGGUUAUCUGUGAACGAUUGUGCUGCCACAACGGGGAAAAGCCGCGGCAUAUCGUUCGGCGGGGGUGUGUCCCUACAUUCGGUGGCAGCGGCGGAACGCGCUGGACGCAACGGUCUUACCUUGCUCUUCUGUUUUCUCAGACCCGAAUCGACCAAUUCACUGCAGACCGGAGUCUUUGAAUCGCGCGCCACCGGUUAUCUGUGAACGAGUGUGCUGCCACAACGGGGAAAAGCCGCGGCAUAUCGUUCGGCGGGGGUGUGUCCCUACAUUCGGUGGCAGCGGCGGAACGCGCUGGACGCAACGGUCUUACCUUGCUCUUCUGUUUUCUCAGACCCGAAUCGACCAAUUCACUGCAGACCGGAGUCUUUGAAUCGCGCGCCACCGGUUAUCUGUGGACGAGUGUGCUGCCACAACGGGGA
rnacentral:lncRNA from 1 species